GUUAUUUUCUUAGUGUAU
rnacentral:snRNA from 1 species